rnacentral:lncRNA from 15 species
CUGCCAUAAAUCAGAUGUAGAAAGAUGUGCAGAUUAUUGAAGUAACUAAAUAUUGACCUUUCUUGUUUUGUCGGUCUCUUGGAUAAUAAAAAGGGAAGGUUUGUGGACUGAAAGUUAGUGGUAAUGACUUUGUCAGCUGUAACCUUGGCUGCCACCCAGAUACACACCCGGCUCCACAACACCAGGAUGAGGGCCAGAGGCACAUGGCACACCUGCAGCGGAGGUAGCAAUGAGGAGGAACACAUUCUCAGAAGAUGUGGCAGACCUGGCUUCAUUUGUGACUAAUUAAACUCCCUUGUUCCCACUGCGCUGUGUGCCAUAGAACCUUGAUAGCUUCACGGCGGAGGAGAACCAUCCAAAACACAUUCACCAGCAAACCUCCAGGAGACCCUGCAAGAUUUUACUGCUCGAACUGAAGAAAUUGACGGGGUUAUAUUUCACUGUGAUUGUACCUUAAAUGAUUACAUGUGACAAAUGAACUUCAUUGGUUGACUGAAGAGGAAACUGAUAACGUAAGAAUAUUUACAAGCAAAUACACUCACUGACUACUUUAUUAGCUACACCUGUACAAUCCAAUGCAGUCCAAUACAAGUGUACUGCCAUAAAGUCUACUUUUAUGAUGCUUGUAAUAUUUAGGUUUUUUGAGUGUUCAUUCAUUUUAAUUCUAGCAUUGAGGUAAUAGUUAGUAAUGGUCUUGUACUGUACUGCAUUAUACUGAGAGGCGUUUCUAUUAAAUAGGGAGGACAAACAUUUUGAACACCUCUCAUUAUAAUCAAGUACAAUCAGUAAUAAACAUAUGAAUGAAUUUCCAUAUUUCCGACAAUGUCACCAAAAACUCUACACAAUAAACCUUGUAUAGGUAGAACUUAUCGCAGAGCUGUAUUGAACUGAAGACUGUACAGGUGUAGCUAAUAAAGUGGCCAUCGAGUGUAUAUCGAUGGAUAUGCAUUAAAGUUGAAUUUGCUUGGAAGGAAAAAGCACUGGUUACUGUGAUUAAUUUGCCAAUGUAGGAAAUCUUUAAUGGAUGCGGCCACCUCCACAGUUCCCACCGCAUCAUGGUGCAAGAACUGACAGCUCUGAGCUGGAUUACAAUCAUUCACACCACAGCCAUGUGUGUGUAGUUAAAAUGAAAAAUGCUGUUUAUUUUAUUUUAUUGCUUGAGAGAUCAGUAGACUAACUUAUGUACAAAAGGUUCAGCUUUGAAAAGAACUGCUCAUGCACUGUGCUUUGCACCUUGCGCUCUGCCCUAGUGCAAGAAAAUGCAAAUCCUGGUAAUAAUUGACUUGAAAAUUGUACUUCACAGUUUGAUUGUUGCUGGAACUGUACCUCUGCCCCCACACUGGCUCUGUUAGCUUCAGUGUCUGUCACCAAAACACCAAACAGACAAGAGUGAAUAAUAAACCUGGUUAUGAAAAUGUCCCUUUCCUGCCUCCAAGUCCCACCAUGGUGCAUAAACCUUACUUUCUUAUGUAUGACAACAGGCCAUAUCAAGUGCAUGAAGCACAAUUUGAAAUACUGCCAUCAU